UUUUUUUUUUUUUGAGACGGAGUCUCGCUCUGUCGCCAGGCUGGAGUGCAGUGGCACGAUCUCAGCUCACUGCCACCUCUGCCUCCCAGACGUGGUGACACGUCCCUGUAAUCCCAGCUAUUUGGGAGGCUGAGGCAGGAGAAUCAAUUGAACUCAGGAGGUGGAGGUUGUAGUGAGCUGAGAUCGUGCCACUGCACUCUAGCCUGGGCGACAGAGCGAGACACAGUCUCAAAAAAAAAAAAAAAAUGGUAGCAAUCAACAUAAUUCUGCACUAUUUUCAGUGUUUCACUUUAUUGUAUGCAAACUAAUAUACUAUAAUGUCAAUCAAUAUACUGAGUAUAGAAAUGAUGCCAUUAAUACUGAUUGCAAAAACAUUACAACUCAGUACUGCAGCUUUCAUUCAAAUAGGUUAUAUGUAUAAACUGAGUUCAACAAUAUUGUAUUUGAGAUGGUAAAGUUAAAGAAAUGCAAUAAUGUAAAUAAUACUUAAGAAAAUAAGAUCUCAGGAAACUGUAUAUACUCUGUACUUUUAUGCAACUUUAUCAGAUCAUUUCAGUAUAUGCAUCAAGGAUAUAGUGUAUAUGACAUGAACUUUGAGUGC
rnacentral:lncRNA from 10 species